GACGAACGCUGGCGGCGUGCCUAAUACAUGCAAGUCGAGCGCAGGAAACUGACGGAACUCUUCGGAGGGAAGGCAGCGGAAUGAGCGGCGGACGGGUGAGUAACACGUAAGGAACCUGCCUCAAGGAUUGGGAUAACUCCGAGAAAUCGGAGCUAAUACCGGAUAGUUCAACGGACCGCAUGGUCCGCUGAUGAAAGGCGCUCCGGCGUCACCUUGAGAUGGCCUUUCGGUGCAUUAGCUAGUUGGUGGGGUAACGGCCCACCAAGGCGACGAUGCAUAGCCGACCUGAGAGGGUGAGCGACCGCACUGGGACUGAGACACGGCCCAGACUCCUACGGGAGGCAGCAGUAGGGAAUCUUCCACAAUGGACGAAAGUCUGAUGGAGCAACGCCGCGUGAGUGAUGAAGGUUUUCGUAUCGUAAACCUCUGUUGUAAGGGAAGAACACGUACGAGAGGGAAUGCUCGUACCUUGACGGUACCUUACGAGAAAGCCACGGCUAACUACGUGCCAGCCGCCGCUGUAA
rnacentral:rRNA from 1 species